AUUGAACGCUGGCGGCAUGGUUAAGACAUGCAAGUCGAACGCGAAAGGGGAGCAAUCCCCCGGUAGAGUGGCGCAAGGGCGAGUAAUACAUUCCUACGUACCUCGAGGUCAGGGACAGCC
rnacentral:rRNA from 1 species